rnacentral:rRNA from 1 species
GACGAACGCUGGCGGCGUGCCUAAUACAUGCAAGUUGAGCGCUGAAGGUUGGUACUUGUACCAACUGGAUGAGCAGCGAACGGGUGAGUAACGCGUGGGGAAUCUGCCUUUGAGCGGGGGACAACAUUUGGAAACGAAUGCUAAUACCGCAUAAAAACUUUAAACACAAGUUUUAAGUUUGAAAGAUGCAAUUGCAUCACUCAAAGAUGAUCCCGCGUUGUAUUAGCUAGUUGGUGAGGUAAAGGCUCACCAAGGCGAUGAUACAUAGCCGACCUGAGAGGGUGAACGGCCACAUUGGGACUGAGACACGGCCCAAACUCCUACGGGAGGCAGCAGUAGGGAAUCUUCGGCAAUGGACGAAAGUCUGACCGAGCAACGCCGCGUGAGGGAAGAAGGUUUUCGGAUCGUAAAACUCUGUUGGUAGAGAAGAACGUUGGUGAGAGUGGAAAGCUCAUCAAGUGACGGUAACUACCCAGAAAGGGACGGCUAACUACGUG